rnacentral:rRNA from 1 species
UGGCGUACGGGUGAGUAACACGUGGGUAAUCUACCUCUUAGUGGGGAAUAACCAGGGGAAACUCUGGCUAAUACCGCAUAAGCCUGAGAAGGGAAAGCAGCAAUGCGCUGAGAGAGGAGCCCGCGGCCGAUUAGCUAGUUGGUGGGGUAAGAGCCCACCAAGGCAGAGAUCGGUGGCCGGCCUGAGAGGGCACACGGCCACACUGGCACUGAAACACGGGCCAG